ensembl:lncRNA
GUCUGAGAGUUGCUGGUCUGGUCUCUAAUGUCAAACCGUUCUCUCUCAGAAACAUGAAUUACCAAAAUUAAACUAAAAACAAUUAUUGCUGGGCCUGGUGGUGCCUGUAAUCCUACCACACAGGAGGCUGAGGCAAAAGGAUCACCGCCAGCGCAAAUCCAGCCUGGGCUACACAAGCUAACCAUGCCCUGAGACAUGAAGAUGAAGAUCAGAGCAAAUAGAUUUGGCUACAGUUGGGCACCUAAUUAGUCACCAGGGCUGCUUGUAUCUCCAGCAGCAUAGAUAUUGUCAGCAUCAAUGACCCCUUCAUUGGCCUCAACAACAUGAAUUAUGUGUUCCAGUAUGAGUCUGCCUAUGGCAAAUUCAAUGGCACAGACAGAGUGGAGAACAGGAAGCUUGUCAUCAAUGGAAAGGCCAUCUCCAUCAUCCAAGAGCAAGAUCUUACCAACAUCAACUGGGGUGAUAGUUAUGCUAAAUAUGUUGUGAAAUCCAGUGGUGUCUCCACUACCAUGAAGAAGGCUUGGGUCAAUUGAAGGGUAAAAUAGAAAGGCUUGUCAUUUCUGUCCCUUCUGCUGAUGUUCCCAUGUUGGUGAUGGGCUUGAUCCAAGAAGAAUAUGACAACUCCCUUAAGAUCAUAAGGAAAACUUUCUGUUCUACCAGGUGUUUAACCCUUCCCCCCAUCAAGGUCAUCCAUGGCAACUUUGGCACUGUGGAGGGACUCAGGACUACAGUCCCUACCAUCAUUGCCACUCAGAAGACCAUGAAUGUAACCCCUUUAGGAAACGGUAGCUUGAUGGCCAUGGGGCUGCCCAGAACACCAUACUUAGAUCUACUGGCACUGUCAACACUGUGGACAAGGUCAUUCAUUGUGUAAUGGGAAGUUCAAUGGCCUGGUCUUUUGUCUGCCUACCUCCAGUGUGGCAGUUUGAAAUCUGACCUUGUGUCUGUGAAAAGCUGCCAGAUAUGAUGCCAUCAAGAUGGUGGUAAAGGAGGUAUCGAAGGGCCCUCUAACAGGGAUCUUUGCUCCAUUGAUACAUUAUCACCACAUGACAGAUUUAGUUCUUAUUGGUGCAUUGGUUUAUUGCCUUCCUCUCCUGCUCUAGCUGGUGACCUCCAUGAGAACAAGGACCUCAUCUAUUUUGAUCACUGUAAUGCCCCUACUGUUCAAAAAGCACUUGGCUUAAUAGUACUUCCUUCAUUAGAAUGUAUUUAGUUUCUGAAUCCUGGAAUGAUUUGUGGAAGAAUCUUGAAAUAGCUCUGGUACAUGGCUUAUUUUUAGUAACAUUGCCCCGGGUGAUACAUUUACUUAUAUUUUCUGGAACAUCUUUCUAGUAUUGGUCAUUCUACCAUGGGCUGUAGUUCCAGCACAUAUAAUGUAAAGUUUAUGGCAGCUUUUAAAAGGAGGAAAUGGUAGGGUUUAGAGACUAUAAAAUCUGCCUGUGCCUUACAUAGGAUGAGGAAACGUGAAAGUAUUUUAAUACCAAAGGUUGGAGUCGCGGUUCCUUUUAUCUUCCUUCUCCAGAAAUUACUUUUAAUUUAAAGAACAUGCCAGGGUAAUUUCUGUCAGUAAACAAAUGGAAUUUGAAAGUGAAUGUAUUAACAUAACUAUAUUUGCUUAGCACAAGGC